rnacentral:tRNA from 1 species
GCUGUAGUGGUGCAACGGCAGCACGUAAUCCUGUGGCGGUUAUGGACCGGGUUCGACUCCCGGCUACGGCC